UCCCUUCUGGCUUAGCUGGUAAAGAAUUUGCCUGCAAUGCAGGAGAACUGGGUUCAUUCCCUGGGUUGGGAA
rfam:TPA: Bos taurus chromosome 12, whole genome shotgun sequence.